rnacentral:rRNA from 1 species
AUAUGGUCAAGUGAAGAAGCGCAUACGGUGGAUGCCUUGGCAGUCAGAGGCGAUGAAAGACGUGGUAGCCUGCGAAAAGCUUCGGGGAGUCGGCAAACAGACUUUGAUCCGGAGAUGUCUGAAUGGGGGAACCCAGCCAUCAUAAGAUGGUUAUCUUACGCUGAAUACAUAGGCGUAAGAGGCGAACCAGGGGAACUGAAACAUCUAAGUACCCUGAGGAAAAGAAAUCAACCGAGAUUCCCUUAGUAGUGGCGAGCGAACGGGGACUAGCCCUUAAGUGGCUUUGAGAUUAGCGGAACGCUCUGGAAAGUGCGGCCAUAGUGGGUGAUAGCCCUGUACGCGAAAAUCUCUUGGUCAUGAAAUCGAGUAGGACGGAGCACGAGAAACUUUGUCUGAAUAUGGGGGGACCAUCCUCCAAGGCUAAAUACUACUGACUGACCGAUAGUGAACUAGUACCGUGAGGGAAAGGCGAAAAGAACCCCGGAGAGGGGAGUGAAAUAGAUCCUGAAACCGUAUGCGUACAAGCAGUGGGAGCCCACUUUGUUGGGUGACUGCGUACCUUUUGUAUAAUGGGUCAGCGACUUAUUUUCAGUGGCGAGCUUAACCGAAUAGGGGAGGCGUAGCGAAAGCGAGUCUUAAUAGGGCGUCUAGUCGCUGGGAAUAGACCCGAAACCGGGCGAUCUAUCCAUGGGCAGGUUGAAGGUUGGGUAACACUAACUGGAGGACCGAACCGACUACCGUUGAAAAGUUAGCGGAUGACCUGUGGAUCGGAGUGAAAGGCUAAUCAAGCUCGGAGAUAGCUGGUUCUCCUCGAAAGCUAUUUAGGUAGCGCCUCAUGUAUCACUGUAGGGGGUAGAGCACUGUUUCGGCUAGGGGGUCAUCCCGACUUACCAAACCGAUGCAAACUCCGAAUACCUACAAGUGCCGAGCAUGGGAGACACACGGCGGGUGCUAACGUCCGUCGUGAAAAGGGAAACAACCCAGACCGUCAGCUAAGGUCCCAAAGUUAUGGUUAAGUGGGAAACGAUGUGGGAAGGCUUAGACAGCUAGGAGGUUGGCUUAGAAGCAGCCACCCUUUAAAGAAAGCGUAAUAGCUCACUAGUCGAGUCGGCCUGCGCGGAAGAUGUAACGGGGCUCAAACCAUACACCGAAGCUACGGGUAUCACGUAAGUGAUGCGGUAGAGGAGCGUUCUGUAAGCCUGUGAAGGUGAGUUGAGAAGCUUGCUGGAGGUAUCAGAAGUGCGAAUGCUGACAUGAGUAACGACAAUGGGUGUGAAAAACACCCACGCCGAAAGACCAAGGUUUCCUGCGCAACGUUAAUCGACGCAGGGUUAGUCGGUCCCUAAGGCGAGGCUGAAAAGCGUAGUCGAUGGAAAACAGGUUAAUAUUCCUGUACUUCUGGUUAUUGCGAUGGAGGGACGGAGAAGGCUAGGCCAGCUUGGCGUUGGUUGUCCAAGUUUAAGGUGGUAGGCUGAGAUCUUAGGUAAAUCCGGGAUCUUAAGGCCGAGAGCUGAUGACGAGUGUUCUUUUAGAACACGAAGUGGUUGAUGCCAUGCUUCCAAGAAAAGCUUCUAAGCUUCAGGUAACCAGGAACCGUACCCCAAACCGACACAGGUGGUUGGGUAGAGAAUACCAAGGCGCUUGAGAGAACUCGGGUGAAGGAACUAGGCAAAAUGGCACCGUAACUUCGGGAGAAGGUGCGCCGGUGAGGGUGAAGGACUUGCUCCGUAAGCUCAUGCCGGUCGAAGAUACCAGGCCGCUGCGACUGUUUAUUAAAAACACAGCACUCUGCAAACACGAAAGUGGACGUAUAGGGUGUGACGCCUGCCCGGUGCCGGAAGGUUAAUUGAUGGGGUUAGCUAACGCGAAGCUCUUGAUCGAAGCCCCGGUAAACGGCGGCCGUAACUAUAACGGUCCUAAGGUAGCGAAAUUCCUUGUCGGGUAAGUUCCGACCUGCACGAAUGGCGUAACGAUGGCGGCGCUGUCUCCACCCGAGACUCAGUGAAAUUGAAAUCGCUGUGAAGAUGCAGUGUAUCCGCGGCUAGACGGAAAGACCCCGUGAACCUUUACUAUAGCUUUGCACUGGACUUUGAAUUUGCUUGUGUAGGAUAGGUGGGAGGCUUUGAAGCGUGGACGCCAGUCUGCGUGGAGCCAACCUUGAAAUACCACCCUGGCAACUUUGAGGUUCUAACUCAGGUCCGUUAUCCGGAUCGAGGACAGUGUAUGGUGGGUAGUUUGACUGGGGCGGUCUCCUCCUAAAGAGUAACGGAGGAGUACGAAGGUGCGCUCAGACCGGUCGGAAAUCGGUCGUAGAGUAUAAAGGCAAAAGCGCGCUUGACUGCGAGACAGACACGUCGAGCAGGUACGAAAGUAGGUCUUAGUGAUCCGGUGGUUCUGUAUGGAAGGGCCAUCGCUCAACGGAUAAAAGGUACUCCGGGGAUAACAGGCUGAUACCGCCCAAGAGUUCAUAUCGACGGCGGUGUUUGGCACCUCGAUGUCGGCUCAUCACAUCCUGGGGCUGAAGCCGGUCCCAAGGGUAUGGCUGUUCGCCAUUUAAAGUGGUACGCGAGCUGGGUUUAGAACGUCGUGAGACAGUUCGGUCCCUAUCUGCCGUGGACGUUUGAGAUUUGAGAGGGGCUGCUCCUAGUACGAGAGGACCGGAGUGGACGAACCUCUGGUGUUCCGGUUGUCACGCCAGUGGCAUUGCCGGGUAGCUAUGUUCGGAAUAGAUAACCGCUGAAAGCAUCUAAGCGGGAAACUAGCCUCAAGAUGAGAUCUCACUGGAACCUUGAGUUCCCUGAAGGGCCGUCGAAGACUACGACGUUGAUAGGUUGGGUGUGUAAGCGCUGUGAGGCGUUGAGCUAACCAAUACUAAUUGCCCGUGAGGCUUGACCAU